CCCGGGUCUUGUACACACCGCCCGCCACACCAUGGGAGCGGGAUGUACCAGAAGUAGGUAGGCUAACCGCAAGGGGGCCGCUUACCACGGUGCGUUUCGUGACUGGGGUG
rnacentral:rRNA from 1 species